GUUGUUUCGGCUCUAUACCUCUGCAUAAAGUAAAAAUAACAAUUUAUAACAAACCAUCAACAUUUGCAAAUAUAAUAAAUCACAAUAAACAGCUACCAACUAGAUAUAGAAAAUGAAACCGAACCUUAUACACUACUACCUGGACAGGAAAUGAUGUUAUAAGAAAACAACUGAUUACAUUUUAUUGAAUAGUUCACUGAGGAGUGAGGAAGAUCAGGAAGUGAUAGAUUGUACCACAUAAGAUGCAAAAGAACCAACG
rnacentral:misc_RNA from 1 species